UUCUUGUCUUUGAAGCUAGAAAACCAGUGGAUGCAAGAGUAAAGGAAGCAGCUUUUGUUCUAGAAAAAGCCAACGAUGUCCACAUGCUAUUGGAAAUACCAUCUUCUAGAAGAUGAAUAGUAAUUAUGCUCAACACAUAGAAGGAAAAAUCAUGGCUCAAAGAAUGAUCUUCCGGGGGAAGAGCUGUGUAAAUGUGAAGGUGAAAACUUGGCCAUUACCACCUGCGUUUCAGCAAGGGCUGCGCACCCGGCUCUGGCUGCUCUGCAUUUAUCUGCUUAGAGUGCCAUCUCUGCGGCUCCUCGCCACGGUCCCGCUUAUCUGCGGCUGCUUUUGGGCUCUGGUCUUUAUUUCCCUCCUGUAUUCCACCUCUGCUCGCCUGCCUGCCUCCCAUUAGAAAGACACAAUGCACAGAGGUUACCUACAGAAGGACCACUCCACAGACGUGUGGACCAUCAGCAUCCCGGGCUCGAGGGGACAAGACAAGGGCUGUGCACACUCAUGUCCUGAAAUGUGGAGUGGGGGAAACGCGGUGCCUCAUACCCGACGACAUCAUGACACUCCCCCGACAGGCACUAAUGCUUAAAAGGAGUAUGAGGAGCCCACACAAACGGUCAGAGAUUGAGGAAGAACACGAAGCUCUCACUGGCCACUCUUCUCUCACUCAGCACCAUGGCUUGGAUAUGGAUCUCCUUGGGAAGGAGAAGAUAGGAAAAGUUUGCAGAGAAAGAUACAUAAAAUCAGAACACAGAAAUAAUGUAACCCAGCU
rnacentral:lncRNA from 1 species